AAUUUUAGUGUGGAAAGCCAGAUAGUACACUCUUAACAUCUGUGAAAUCAGAUUAAAAUGCAAGUAGACUUUUAGCUUUCCUAAUCCCUGCUUCUGAAUAGGACCUGGACAUGCAGGUCCUUAACAAAAUAAAAAUGAAGACAAUAUCAGGUAUAGGGAAUGGUUAGUUCUUACCCCACAGGUAUUUGGCCUUGGAAAUGGCUUCUGGUCUCUCAGCAGCAUAUAAGUCUAGACUUUGCUAUGAGUUCGAAAAUGGCAGUGUUGUUUCAGAGGGGCUCCUAAGUGUGGGAAGGAUGGCCUAGCACAGUCUCCUCUUUUGCCCUAUCCCUGAUGCUCAUUAAGGUCAUGCUAGAAGGGAAAGGUCUGAUUAGAUAACCAAGGUUGCUACUUCUGGAGCUCUGCUACAUGUCAGGCACUGUUUUAAGUGCUUUACAUAUAUUAAUUACUUCUCAUAACCAAACAACCCUGCAAAGGGUGCACUAUUAUUACAGAUGGUAAGCUCAGGCACAGGAAAGCCAAGUCACUUGUCCAAGGUCACACAACUUCUGGUACCACUGGAAUUUGAACCCAGAUCUUCAGUACCCACAGAGCUUGCUGUAACUCUGCUGUUUAUAUGCCUUGGGGCCAACUCUCCCUAACUUAACACUGUCUUUGAAGUCAUGGAUGAAUGGGCUUACAAUGAAGUUGCUCUUAACACCAUGUACUUUGGAUUUUUAUGUAAGUAGAACAUUGGGUCAGUCAUCAGGCCUCCUAAGCAGUUGAAUCCUUUAGGCCACUUACAUAAUGGACUAACUGCUGGAUACGUGCUGCCCUCUUGUGAUGAAAAUAAUCCCAAUACGACCUUCUCGAGCUCUCCAGAAUGCACCUACUUCCUUUAGUCCAGUCCCAUGGUUGGGGGUAGAAGAUACGUGGGCUCUGAAAAUUCAGACUCUUGUGUCACCUGACAUUUUCCAGGGUGUUCCUAGCCUUGUGACUCUGUCAGUGAGGCUUGUAAACGUGAUUCCAGAGUCUGUAAAUUUUAGCACCAUUAAUACAGAAGAGACCAGGCUUCCCAAAGGGGCACUAAAGAGACCCCACCUGUGUCCUUGGGGGGAGAGUUCAUUUUGUUUAACUUGCCCUAGUGAAUUGGGAUCAGGUUUAAGAGGCUUGGCAGAAAAAAGGUCAGUUGGAGAAUGAACUGAAGGUCACAAACUAUCAGAACAGAGGGAAAAUAAAGCCAGCAGAAGGCCUGUGUUCGGGUUCUUGCCGUAGUGAUAAUACAGCGUGUGGCCUUGGGCAAGUCGCUUUGCUCUCUGACGCCAGUGUCUGCGCUGGCAGAGUAAGAGGGGUGAACUAAGUGAGCUCAAAAUCUUAGAUAUUACCAGGUCCAACCUUCUGCAUUUGCCAAAAUCCCUUUCCUAAAGGGUGUUACUUCACCACCACCACCCCCAUUUUUAUAGGCAUCCUCAUUAGUAAAACAAGAUACAUAUCCACACUCACUAGUUCUCAGUUUCCUCACUCGGGAAGUAAUCCCUACUGGACAGGGUUGUUGGGAAGAAUCAGUUUCCAUUUGACACAGUGCUAAUGGGUUCAGUCAGACUGGGUUAGUUUAGGCAAAGACACACGCACACAUACAAAUGCUUAAAAUCAAGGAAGACUGAUUUUGAAGAUACACCUACCCAGUUAUAAGUGACUAUCUUCACAGUGCCACUUGAAAACAUGCUGAUUUAUGGGUUACUCAUUAUUCCCUGCAGCUGUAGUUAUUACCAGCGCCUGCCUGUGGCUGUAACACAUCUAUGUGUGUGGGCAGUGCCUGGGUACCAUCUAGGGUGAACGGUCCAGGGCAGGGAGUCUCAUUCGUAUUCAAAGAAGACAUGACAUUGUUCUGUAACUUCCACCUGCUUCCAAACCAUUUAUUAGACUCCUAUACUUGACGGGUUCACGUAGAUUGGAAAAAAAAAAAAUUCAUAGCAAGAAUCUUUGACUUGCUAAUCCCGCUGCAAAGAAAUAAUCCUAAAGAACUUUCUACUUCCAUAGAAAUGUCUGUAAGAAUCACCACAACCACCACAGCCAGUCUGGAAACCUGAAUGUCCAUCUAACACUUGGAACAUAAUUGAGCAGAUUAUCAAACCAAUAGAAUACAAAUGAUAAUUAUAAAGGUUAACAAUGUGGGAAAAUGAUUGAAAGAAAUUGCAGGUGUACACUGUGAUUAUAACUAUGUAAAAAGAUGUCAAAAUAGUCAACCUUAAAAAAGAAAUUCUGACAUGGAUGAACUUUGAGGACAUCAUGCUAAGUGAAAUAAGCCAGUCAUAAGAAGACAAACACUGUAUGGCUUCACUUAUAUGAGGGACCUGGGAUAGUCAGAAUCAUAGAGAAAGUAAGUACAAGGGUGGUUGCCAGGGGCUUGGGGGAUGGGGAAAUGGGGAAUUAUUGUUUAAUGAGUAUAGAAUUUUGGUUUUACAAGAAGAGUAAUUCUGGAGAUCGGCGUUGGUGAUGGUUACACAACAUAUGGAUGUAUUUAUACCACUGAAAUGUACACUUAAAAAUGAUUAAGAUGGUAAAUUGUAUAUUAUGUGUAUUUUACCACAACAAAAAAGUCUCCGAGUAGGCAAAAUAUGGAAAAAUAGCAUGCAAAAAUAAGUAGCUGUGUUAGCAUUGUGUUAUUAUAAGCGUUAUUUGAAUCUUUUCCUUUAACAUUGUGAUACUGCUUUUGCAACACAAAUGUGACAGAAAAAGUCAAGGAAAAAAAUUCAAGUUAUUUCGAUAUUUGUUAUUUGCCCAAAAAAGCACCUGAGUAGUCUUGGGGAAAAUCAGAAACUUACUUAACAUCCUUGAACUUAUUUUAUAAUUUACUAUUGUUUAAAAUCUUUUUUUUUUUUUUCAUUACAGAUCAUCGGGGGCCUGUAAUCUUUUCAGUACUUAGUGCUUCUAAAAGUUUUAAGCUGGUCUUGGGUGCAGUUAAUUCAGUUUUAAGUGAGAAUCACGCUGGGAUGGCCCCUGGGCCCUGCAGCUCUGCUGCCAGCCCAUCUGUGUGGUAACAUGAGCUUUGUCCUCCUUACCAGCUAAUUCCACUUUCAUUAAAAUUCCUCUCUAUGGACCUGGGAUAAUGGUCAUGGUUCUGCCUUUCAGCUCCAGAGCAAGGAUUUUUUUUUUCCUGUAAGUGAGCAAUUGUUACUGGAAAUAGAUGUGUGUAACACCUGGAAGUGGAUGAAAACACCAGUGAGCCAAAUGCUCCUUCCCAGUUGGGCAGCUGAAAGGGACACCUGGCAAAGGCUGGAGAGCCUGGCUUUGUGCAGUGGUGCCGGCUCCUGCUCUGCUCUUACUGUGCAGUGAAGACCUGGAUGUGCCUCCCUCUGUUCAGACAGCGCUGAUUCUUCUUCCUGGGACAGAGAACCUCUGCCCACAGCAUCAGUCUUCCGAAGGUCAGCCCCGACCCACGAAAGCCCUGAGUGGAGCCUCAGCAUUACGAAGGCAUCGUCCUGUCCCUCAGACUGGCUAAGAGGAGGGCAUCCUGCGAUCUUUGUCAGCAGACGGUGAGACUCCAGGACUAAGACGUAAGCCCAUGGCGGGUCCUUCCUUUGGCACCAAGUCCCUACAGAACCUUGGAUGAGUCAGAUCCCCACACUGUACCCCCCCCUCAGUAUCCACAGCUCUGAAGUGGGAAUAAUAUCAACACAUGGGGAAGUACUGAGGAGGAAGAGAACAUUGCAGGUAAAACACUUUUGUUCGUUGAGCACCUUUUCCCCAAGAAACAUGGCACCAACUUUGCACCAUGUCCCCAACUCUUCAUUGAAUGCGGCAGUGACCGACUCACUCUCCCUGGUCUUUGGGCAGGCGUUUCUAUGAGCUCAAAGUCUCAUUCCUCUAAUUUCAGAUGAAAAUAAUCAUGCAUUAACAUCUCUUCAGAGUAUGUUUACAGUCACUAAAACAGCUCAUACUUUUCCUGCAGAAUUGUAACAGCUACUCAGGGACUCUGCCAAUCAGAGUGCCCGCACAGAGCUCGUUUUGCACCACGAAGGCAGGAAUCCUGGAAGCUCCACCUCGGCAGACGCUGGAUGUUUCAGACAUCCAAGACAGGCAACUGCACAGAGUCACCCCCAUGGCCAAGAUCCACCCACAGAAAAAAAUCCCCUCAGAAACAGACAAUCCGCUUCUCGUCUUCAAAGACUUUGGCCUCCUCUGGCUUUAUCAAGUUUCCGUUUAAGCUGUUGGAGAAAAACAAAGAACACAAGGGUGCCCAGUCAAAAAUGUUUGGAGACUACCAGUCUGAACAACAAAUUCUUGGAGACUACCAGUCUGAACAACAAAUUCUAAGGAACACAUCUGGGGAACAGGCAGUCUGAUGUCUCCUUCCAGAUGGCUGGAGAAAGGCAAGGCAGUUUUUAAACAACUAAAACAGUUGGCAAGACUCCACCUGGACGUGGUUCCUGCCUGGGCUGAUUUGAAGCAGGAAGCGUAAGUGCCAGCCUCACCAGCAGCCACUCAGCCUUUGCUGCUCCAGAGCCCAGGACGAGGCCAAAUCACCAGACUGCUCGAGGAGAGGCCAGACAGGAAAUGAACAUGGCAAGACCUGGUCACACGGGCUGAGGACGCCUGGCGAGCUCUGCUUCGGAGGCUGACACCUUACAGGCGCCUGUCGGGGAGGCCUGGAGAAGUUUCCUCUGUUCUUGUAUGGAAGGAACUCUGCUACUGCCCCCACCGUAUUUAACCCUUUGUCAGUGACAGGAAGGACACGGGCAACCAGGAGACCCCCGAGUCUCAGAGAUUUGGCCAGAGGCCUAAAGGAGGGCCAGGGAGGACCAAGUCUGUUUACAGAGGUGAAGGGUCCCCUCUUGUCCCAGCACCAUCCUGAGAAAUGAGGAGGGGGCAGGAAUCUGUGGCCCAGUGUCUUUCAGUUUUGUCUGGACUGAAGAAUUCCUCCCCAACCCCCAAGGGGCACGGGAAGACUACAGAGGGGCUGGCAACGUCUAGUCUUGAUCUGACUGGUGUGUGCACAUGUCACAUCACAGAGCUGAAAACUUAAGCAUAAUAUACUUAACUGUAUGCCUCUUCUAUGUCGAUACAAACGUUUUUAAAAAGAAAAAGAAAAACCACACACACAAAUACCUUCCCUGUUAGGAAUGCCAGCCGCCCUCUUUCCCCUGGCUCCUCCUCUGGUAAAACAAGAGGAACACGGAGUGACCAGGUUGGCCCUGAAGACGGCAGUUCUCAGAAGGCAGCAGUUACCUCAAGUUAGUCAAGCUCGGGUGGUUCCUCAGAGCCUCUGCGAAGGCCCUUGCUCCUUCAUCACCGAUUUGAUUGCCCCACAUCCUGAGGGCAGAGGGAAGACAGUGAAAGUUACCUCAUGCUCAUCCCUUAUUUUCUGCUCAUGGCCAUGGCGUGUAUACUCAACACGCAGAUGUUUCUGCUCCAUCCCUGGAGCUGUGGCCUGGAGAUGAAUCCCUCCACCAGCCCCUUAGUGAGCUGCUCGGGAGGAAAAAAAGCAGUAGAAGGCUUGUGAACAGAAGUCAAAUCAGACAGCUGCACAAUUAGGAACCAAGUCUCACCCCUGAGCUUUUGGAGAGCUGUCAGUCAGAGCCUAAGCUCACAACUAUCCCUGAAAUGUCACCUGCAGGAUAUACAGGUUGGUGGCAGCAUGAAAGGAAGGCCUGUGGCGGUGCCAGACCCAAUAUCCAUUUGACCCUGUGCAGGGGUGCCAGACAUGCUUGGAGACAUAGUCGGUCUUGCAUGAAGCAAAGAUCAGAAAGCACACUGAGAAAACUUAUCGGCAAUUUCCCUGGUAUGUAAAGAGGAGGUGACCAAACCAUGUUGUUCAUAUUGUUGCAGUUUGGGUGGGGAGGUGCCAUGACAAGCCAUAUUCUCUCCCCCACAGUAGAAAGCCUUAGAGGAUCUGGCUAAGUCGAGGGUCUGCAUGGUAAGACGUUGGGCUCCCAUCCUGGCCCUGCCCCCCACCACCUGGGCGUGCUUGGGUAAUGCAUAGUCUCUGAGGUGUUAGUCUCAUCUGUAAAGCAGGUAUAAGAAGAGCAUUUCCUCAUAGAGUUGUUGUGAGGAUUAAGUGAGUUAAUAUAUGCAAAGCACUCCAAACAGUGCUGAGCCUAUAAUAAGAGUCAGCUAUUCCUAAAAGGCUGAGGGUCACUGUCUACAGAAAGCAAGUCUGCCAGGCUCACCACAGAAGUGGGGCUGCCUCAGCUACACGCUCUCACCAGGCAAGCGGCCUGCUGACGUCCCUGCUGGUAUGGCUUCUGAAACCCCAGAAUGAGAGUUUUCAGCAUUUUGCAUAAAAAGUGUGUGUACUAGAUAAAACUGCAUGGUAUCAAACUUUGAAUAAAGUGGAAAACUACUCAUGACAUGAGAUUAAGUGAAAAAAGAUAGAAUAAAAUUCUGUACAGAUAGUUUGACGUCUACCAUAUUAAAAAAAAAUAGUAUAGAGAGAACAUAAACUGCAUGAGAGCAAAAAAGCUUACCUGACCUCAAGUGUUGACAAUAAUUAUUUCUGAGAUGAUCUCCAUUAUACUGUUCACAUUUUCCAUAGUUUACAAAUAAAAUUAUCUAUGUCUCUUCUAGAAUCAGAGAAAAAAUCGUAACUCUAUGAAAAGCUGUAGUCUCCUGAAUCAAAACCAUAAUGAAAUAUCACCUCACACCCAUAUGGAUGGUUACUAUCAAAACACCAGAAAAUAACAAGUUGUUGGUAAGGAUGUGGAAAAAUUGGAACCCCUGUGCACUGUUAGUAGGAAUGUAAAAUGGUAUAGCUGCUGCAGAAAACAAUAUGGUGGUUCCUCAAAAAAUUAAAAAUAGAAUUACCAUGUGAUCCAGCAAUUCCACUUCUGGGUAUGUACCCAAAAGUAUUUACAGCAGGGUCUCAAAGAGAUACAUGUACACCCAUGUACAUAGCAGCAUUAUUCACAAGAGCUAAAAGGUGGAAACAAUCCAAGUGUCCACUGACAGAUGAAUGGAUAAACAACUGUGGUAUAUAUAUAGAAUGGUCUAUUACACCGCCUUAAAAAGGAAGGAAAGUCUGACACAUGCUACAACAUGGAUAAACCUUGAGGACAUCAUGCUAAGUUAAAUAAGCCAGUCACAAAAGAAGACAAAUACUGUAUGACUCCACUUAUAUGACUCCCUACAGUAGUCAAAUUCACAGGAACAGAGGAUACUAUAGAAAGGUGGUUGCCAGGGCUGAGGGGAGGGGAGAAUGAGUUUCUGUUUUGCAAGACAGAGUUCUGGAGAUGGAUAAUGGUGAUGGUUGCACAACUAUACAAAUGUGGUUGCACAACUAUAGGAAUGUACUUAAGGCCACUGAACUGUACACUUAAAAGGUUAAGAUGGUAACUUUCGUUAUGUGUAUUUUCAAUAAAAAAUUGAAUUAAAAAGCCUCCAGAGGGCUUCCCUGGUGGCACAGUGGUUGAGAGUCCACCUGCAAAUGCAGGGGACACGGGUUCGUGCCCCAGUCCUGGAAGAUCCCACAUGCCAUGGAGCGGCUAGGCCCAUGAGCCAUGGCCACUGAGCCUGCGUGUCCGGAGCCUGUGCUCCGCAGCGGGAGAGGCCACAACAGUGAGAGGCCCACUUACUGCAAAAAAAAAAAAA